GAGAGCACAGUACGAUGAAAGUUGUAAGCUGUGUUCGGGGGGGAGUUAUUGUCUAUCGUUGGCCUCUAUGGUAGAACCCGUCGGGGAGGCCUGAGAGGCGGUCGUUUACCCUGU
rnacentral:ncRNA from 1 species